rnacentral:rRNA from 1 species
CCUACGGGCGGCAGCAGUGGGGGAUAUUGCACAAUGGGGGAAACCCUGAUGCAGCGACGCCGCGUGUGGGAAGACGGUCCUCUGGAUUGUAAACCACUGUCCCCAGGGACGAAGAUGACGGUACCUGGGGAGGAAGCUCCGGCUAACUACGUGCCAGCAGCGGCGGUAAUACGUAGGGAGCAAGCGUUGUCCGGAAUUACUGGGUGUAAGGGGAGCGUAGGCGGGAUGGCAAGUUGGGUGUAAAAUCUACCGGCUAAACUGGUAGUCGCACUCGAAACUGCGAUUCUUGAGUGAAGGAGGGGCAAGCGGAAUUCCUAGUGUAGCGGUGAAAUGCGUAGAUAUUAGGAGGAACACCAGUGGCGAAGGCGGCCUGCUGGGCUUUUACUGACGCUGAGGCUCGAAAGUGUGGGGAGCAAACAGGAUUAGAUACCCUGGUAGUC